GGUGACCUCGGAUCAGGUAGGU
rnacentral:rRNA from 1 species